UUACGACCAUCUCACGUUGAAACACCGGUUCUUGCAGAAUCACCGAAGUUAAGCAACGUCGACCCCGGUUGGUACCUAGAUGGGUGAACAAUUGGGAAUAUCAGGUGCUGUGA